rnacentral:rRNA from 1 species
GGUCUUCACUGACUCAGUAACGAAGCUAACGCGUGAAGUUGACCGCCUGGGGAGUACGGCCGCAAGGUUAAAACUCAAAGGAAUUGACGGGGACCCGCACAAGCGGUGGAUGAUGUGGAUUAAUUCGAUGCAACGCGAAAAACCUUACCUACCCUUGACAUGUCCAGAGGCCCGAAGAGAUUUGGGUGUGCCCGAAAGGGAGCUGGAACACAGGUGCUGCAUGGCUGUCGUCAGCUCGUGUCGUGAGAUGUUGGGUUAAGUCCCGCAACGAGCGCAACCCUUGUCGUUAAUUGCCAUCAUUUAGUUGGGCACUUUAACGAGACUGCCGGUGACAAACCGGAGGAAGGUGGGGAUGACGUCAAGUCCUCAUGGCCCUUAUGGGUAGGGCUUCACACGUCAUACAAUGGCCGGGACAGAGGGCUGCCAACCCGCGAGGGGGAGCUAAUCCCAGAAACCCGGUCGUAGUCCGGAUCGUAGUCUGCAACUCGACUGCGUGAAGUCGGAAUCGCUAGUAAUCGCGGAUCAGCUUGCCGCGGUGAAUACGUUCCCGGGUCUUGUACACACCGCCCGUCACACCAUGGGAGCGGGUUCUGCCAGAAGUAGUUAGCCUAACCGCAAGGAGGGCGAUUACCACGGCAGGGUUCGUGACUGGGGUGAAGUCGUAACAAGGUAGCCGUAUCGGAAGGUGCGGCUGGAUCACCUCCUU